UACGUAGGGUGCGAGCGUUGUCCGGAAUUACUGGGCGUAAAGAGCUCGUAGGUGGUUUGUCGCGUUGUUCGUGAAAACUCACAGCUUAACUGUGGGCGUGCGGGCGAUACGGGCAGACUGGAGUACUGCAGGGGAGACUGGAAUUCCUGGCGUAGCGGUGGAAUGCGCAGAUAUCAGGAGGAACACCGGUGGCGAAGGCGGGUCUCUGGGCCGAUACUGACGCUGAGGAGCGAAAGCGUGGGGAGCGAACAGG
rnacentral:rRNA from 1 species